GAUUAUUUUUAAUCGUGCGGACAGCCAAUACUAAUAUUAACCGUGUUGCCUCUUUUYGGCAUUCUUCAAUUGUUAAAGAGGCGUCAAGUAUCUGGCGAGAACAUAGUGGAUCAUCUUAGUGCUCAUUUUGCUGGUAGCUUUACUUCUACUACCUCGAAAGGGCCGGUAGAUCCAUACAUUU
rnacentral:snoRNA from 1 species